ACUCCUACGGGAGGCAGCAGUGGGGAAGUCUUGGACAAUGGGGGCGAACCCUGAUCCAGCCAUGCCGCGUGAGUGAUGAAGGCCUUAGGGUCGUAAAGCUCUUUCGCCUGUGAUGAUAAUGACAGUAGCAGGUAAACGAAACCCCGGCUAACUCCGUGCCAGCAGCCGCGGUAAUACGGAGGGGUUAGCGUUGUUCGGAAUUACUGGGCGUAAAGCGCGCGUAGGCGGAUUAGUCAGUUAGAGGUGAAAUCCCAGGGCUCAACCCUGGAACUGCCUUUAAUACUGCUAGUCUUGAGUUCGAGAGAGGUGAGUGGAAUUCCGAGUGUAGAGGUGAAAUUCGUAGAUAUUCGGAGGAACACCAGUGGCGAAGGCGGCUCACUGGCUCGAUACUGACGCUGAGGUGCGAAAGGUGUGGGGAGCAAACAGGAUUAGAUACCCGUGGUAGGAUAGCG
rnacentral:rRNA from 1 species